rnacentral:rRNA from 1 species
ACCAUCUUUGAGCAGAGAUUCCUCCAGAGCAUGCGGGCCAUACAAGGGGCGGUUAUAGUGUCCUCCAGUAUUCAGAUCAUCCUUGGUUACAGCCAGCUCUGGGGUAUUUUCUCCACGUACCACCACACACACUAG